rnacentral:rRNA from 1 species
UACGUAGGGAGCAAGCGUUGUCCGGAAUCAUUGGGCGUAAAGCGCGCGUAGGUGGCCAUGUAAGUCCGCUGUGAAAGUCAAAGGCUCAACCUUUGAAAGCCGGUGGAUACUGCAUGGCUAGAGUACGGAAGAGGCGAGUGGAAUUCCUGGUGUAGCGGUGGAAUGCGCAGAUAUCAGGAGGAACACCGAUGGCGAAGGCAAUCCCCUGGACCUGUACUGACGCUCAUGCACGAAAGCGUGGGGAGCAACAGG